rnacentral:rRNA from 1 species
GAUGAACGCUGGCGGCGUGCCUAAUACAUGCAAGUCGAGCGAACGGACGAGAAGCUUGCUUCUCUGAUGUUAGCGGCGGACGGGUGAGUAACACGUGGAUAACCUACCUAUAAGACUGGGAUAACUUCGGGAAACCGGAGCUAAUACCGGAUAAUAUUUUGAACCGCAUGGUUCAAAAGUGAAAGACGGUCUUGCUGUCACUUAUAGAUGGAUCCGCGCUGCAUUAGCUAGUUGGUAAGGUAACGGCUUACCAAGGCAACGAUGCAUAGCCGACCUGAGAGGGUGAUCGGCCACACUGGAACUGAGAGACGGUGCAGACUCCUACGGGAGGCGGCAGUAGGGAAACUUCCGCAAUGGGCGAAAGCCUGACGGAGCGACGCCGCGUGAGUGAUGAAGGUCUUCUGAUCGUAAAACUCUGUUAUUAGGGAAGAACAUAUGUGUAAGUAACUGUGCACAUCUUGACGGUACCUAAUCAGAGAGCCACGGCUAACUACGUG